rnacentral:rRNA from 1 species
UGAGGAAUAUUGGUCAAUGGACGCAAGUCUGAACCAGCCAAGUAGCGUGCAGGAUGACGGCCCUAUGGGUUGUAAACUGCUUUUAUAUGGGGAUAAAGUGGGGAACGUGUUCCCUUUUGCAGGUACCAUUCGAAUAAGGACCGGCUAAUUCCGUGCCAGCAGCCGCGGUAAUACGGAAGGUCCGGGCGUUAUCCGGAUUUAUUGGGUUUAAAGGGAGCGUAGGCCGCGUUUUAAGCGUGUUGUGAAAUGUAGACGCCCAACGUCUGCAUCGCAGCGCGAACUGGGACGCUUGAGUACGCGCAACGUUGGCGGAAUUCGUCGUGUAGCGGUGAAAUGCUUAGAUAUGACGAGGAACUCCGAUUGCGAAGGCAGCUGACGGGAGCGGCACUGACGCUUAAGCUCGAAGGUGCGGGUAUCAAACAGG